CAGCGCCGCGUCAGUUUGCCCCUAGAAGUUGAGCACUACGGUCGUGAACUUUAGUUGGUGUUGGUGGUCUGUGGUUGUAAACCCUGUUGCUGUGAAAUAAGGGUCACUGGGGCCCACAGACCCCCUAGUGUAUAGUCGAAAACGUGAGACCGUGAAAGCAGGAUUAUCUUGGGGGCAAAAUAUAUAGUUUUGAAAGCUAUAUCUUAAUGUAGUGAGGCUGCUGGAACCAGCGUCGGGUAUUACGUGUUAAGAUGUGGAUAUUGAGACCGUGAAGAGCCUCCUCCUAUUGGUUGACAUAGCAUACUCGCGGAGACACUAACGGUAUGAUGAACACGAAUAGGUGAAACUGAAGUUGUCGACCAGAAGCAGCUGGCUGAAAUGUCUGCAUUGCGCAGGUUAUACCCGACGUGAUUGGCUGCAGUUCGUCGCCGGCUGAACGAGAACGCGAGUUUGAUCAGUUGUAUUCCUGAAGGCAGUGAGUGGAGGAUGUGUUAACUGGGCUACGUACGAAGCCUGGAAUGUUGUACGUUCGUACCUUACUACUACACAGUUAAGAAGGUUGGUGUGGAGAGGUGCGAGGCGGCUGAAACAGUGAAGAUGAAGGUGAAGAAACACUCACUAACCAUGAGUGAAGAUGACGAGCAAGGCCAGAGUAGAAAGUGACAUGGAGGAUAGUCAUAAGAAAGGAGUGUGAUAUCCCCAUUUAAAGUUGAAAGAAAUAAUCGUGAAACAAAAGAUCAUUAGAAUGUGUGGCACAAAUAUCAUUUAUGUAGGAAUGGUUUAGUUUGAGCACUAGGGGUUUCAGAGAUGGUGUUACUAAUGAAGUUAAAUAUGGCAGAUAUUUUAGUCGCAUAGAUUUAAGGGCCAGUGUAGUUUGCGUUUUGUGAGAAAUCGCUUUUGUCGUUAUCCCAACAAUAAAUAUGGAAAGGUAUAGUAAAAAAUUGAUAUAAAGGUAGGCAUAAUGUUAAUUGAAAAAGUACUUUUGACAUGGAAAUUGUUGGCCGUUAUGUAUGUUAUAGCAAAUGUGUGAUUGCAUUUUGGUAGAAAAUAGUUAUAAUUUAUAAUUUGAAAGCAAACUAACAUUAGUGUUUUAUUUAAUAAGUAAAAAAAAGUUAAUCGUUGAUGUUGAUAAAUUGUAGAUUACGUUAGGUAAUUAAGUAAAGGAGGCAUUGUUCUGAUAAAUGCAUUUGAGUACCAUUAAGCUUAAACUCUUAUAGUUCAAGUAAAAAAUAAUAAGUCGUAAGUGAUAGAAACUAUAAUGGACAGUAAGUAGGUAAAUGAGUUGUCAUUGUAUUAAGUGUCAUACAAGCUGUACAUAAAAUAUGGCAGUUUGACAUUGUUAAAACACUUUAGUGCGCGCGGCGUUCUGGGCCCUCAAGCGUAUAAUCUUUUCACGCUGCUAACAUCAAUUCUCGAGCUACGUUUUUCAUUU